rnacentral:rRNA from 1 species
AGAACGAACGCUGGCGGCAUGCCUAACACAUGCAAGUCGAACGAGACCUUCGGGUCUAGUGGCGCACGGGUGCGUAACGCGUGGGAAUCUGCCCUUGGGUUCGGGAUAACAGUUGGAAACGACUGCUAAUACCGGAUGAUAUCUUCGGAUCAAAGAUUUAUCGCCCAGGGAUGAGCCCGCGUAGGAUUAGCUUGUUGGUGAGGUAAGAGCUCACCAAGGCGACGAUCCUUAGCUGGUCUGAGAGGAUGAUCAGCCACACUGGGACUGAGACACGGCCCAGACUCCUACGGGAGGCAGCAGUGGGGAAUAUUGGACAAUGGGCGAAAGCCUGAUCCAGCAAUGCCGCGUGAGUGAUGAAAGCCUUAGGGUGUAAAGCUCUUUACCGGAUGAUAAUGACAGUACCGGAGAAUAAGCCCGGCUAACUCCGUGCCCAGCACGCCGGACGUAACUCGUAGACGGCGGCGUAGACGAAGGCGACAGAG